rnacentral:lncRNA from 1 species
GGGCCACACCCAAGCUGGCACAUGGAGGUUCCCAGGCUAGGGGUCAAAUCUGAGCUGUAUCCACCAGCUUAUGCCACGACCACAGCCUCAGCAAUGUGGGAUCUAAGGUGCUUCAGCUCACAGCAACUUGGGUCUUUAACCCAUUGAUCAAGGCCAGGGAUCGAACCUGUGUCCUCAUGGAUGCUAGUCAGAUUCAUUUUCACUGAGCCACGAUGGGAACUCCUUUGGUGGCCAGGGGUUAAUGCCCUCUGCCCACCAGUGACCGGAAUCAAUGCUCACUGCAUGUGUCACAGAUCUCAGAUAGACUUAAACUCUGGGAAGUGAAUGUCUUAUUGGCAUUUUAAGAUAGAUAAUUGCAAAUAUUCCCUUGGAGCUGUAAUCACUCAAAACUAACUUGUCCUUUUAUGAGAAAAAGUAAAGAUAAAUCUGCUUGUUAUAAACAAAGUCAUCCUCCACAGUUGAAACACACUGGGAAAGAUAUUCAAAGUAAUAGAGUUGAAUCCAAUUUUAAAGGGCAUUGAAAAGAAAUUUAGAUUCUUUGCUAUCAAGCUGUGACCAAUUUAGAAAAAUAAAUAGCAAACAAAACCUCCUUACAGAGUUGACAUUCUUUAAAAUGUUAUAUUUAUUGUUCCUCUUUUCCAUUUACUAGGGAAAGAGAAAUCUUAGGAACUAAAAUGUGAUUCCAGCGUAGGUCUGGAAUGAAGGUCCACUGCCCCACUCUUUCUCCCAGGGCUACACCACUAGGGCCAUCAGGGGCAUAAUGUUUAGAGCAGCUCCAACCCAAUGACAAUGCCGUCCCAAGUUAUAUGAUCUGGGGCAAUCCCUGCCCCCGACAGGAGCCAUGUGGCCUUCAAGCAAAUUCCUGGGUCAAGAUUUGAAGGCAUCACUGAUGGAUGGACACGUGGGUCCCUUUCUUUGUUGCAUCUUUCUCUGGGAUGCCCUUUCUAAGGGUCCCACAGGGGAAACGAAGCAGGCACCAGAAUCAAUUAGCAUGGGAAUCGCAUCCACAUUCCCACACCAGCUUAUGUCUCUGAGGAAUCUUUCUUUCAGCCAGAGAUAUAUCCAUCCUUACUUUAUCUAGGCAGUGGACUGGGCCAGUUCUCUCUGCCUCUGUGUGAUGAUGAGUGAAUCAGAGGAACUCACCCUCUCUAGCAUGAACAAACGAGUGGAUUUUCACUUUUCAGGAAACACAAGCCAAACUAAAACCAUGAUCAAGUAUAAGUCAAAUGAUAAGGCAGGGAGGGGAAGGGGUCAGGAUGUUUACUUAAAUAUACUGAACAUUUUUACUUUGAAGUUUCUUUUUGUCACUCAAAGGUAACUGUUAAUACAUAAGCCAGUGAAGCCUUCAGAAGGACUGUUCCUUAAGCAGAGUAGGAAAGUGCUAACCCAGUUGUCAGAUAUCUGAGUAGUCUCUUAACCGUAUUUUGUGCUCCGAUUUUUGUAAUCCUAUUAGAGUAGGUUGUUCGCUUUGUUCCCUGGCUUGUAAGACGACAGGAUGAACAUAUCUGGCAGGAGAAUCUACUGUGAUACUAAUUGUCUGGUUUCUAUGCUGUAGGAGCAGGGAAGAAAUGGGAGGUAUUCUCCUUCCCUCCCAAGGAGUCCACCCAGCCUUUUGCUUCCUUGCCUCAGGGUAUUGUUGGUGACUUCCACUGAAGGGCAAAUGCAGAAAUUUCCAGGCAUCAGAAAAUACAAAGUAAGCUGGGGAAGAAACAGAAGUGGGCCAAUACCGAUGUCUGGGAAGGGAAGGGCUAUUUUUUCCUAUUUCCCUUCUCAUCCAGGCAUUGGCUCCCAAUACUGGUCAAGAUGCCCUGACCCAGUGUGGCCAGAAGUAGCCCAGACUGAGGCAACAUGUGAAUCUGACCCAAGCAGAACGCUGGUGACCAGUAAAUACUGAAGCGCCAAAGGGCUUCCUGCAAUGUAGAGAAUUAACGAGACCCCUAGGGGCACCUCUGAAAAUGACUGAGAUUUACUUUUCCUCUGGCCUGAAGCAGAUUAAACGUGAUUUAGAGGGUAAAAAAGAAGAGUGACAUUUCUUACACCUUAGAAUUCUGAACUAACAUUUAUAUCCACAACACAUUCACUUGCAUAUGUGUGUGUGUAACUAUAUACACAUAGACACACACAGUCAUACAAAUGUUUCAGAGGAUUUUGGAAGGGUGCUAAAAGGCAUGUCAUAGCUUUCUUUUAAUUUAAAUGACUAGUCUCCUUUAAAAACAGGGGAUGGGGUUCAACUCUUUCGAAAUAAAGCAGCCAAGAGGCACUGACUGCAUUAAUCCCCUCACCUGCUCUCUUCUUAGAACUCCCCUGUUUUUGCUCUGUUAGAGUCAUGGGUAUCCCCAGGGAUGAAAGAAAGCUAUGCUGGGUGGACUUUGCUCAAGGAAGAACCUGAGCCACUAGGGACCUUGGAGGUGAUUCUUUGAUGGACCCAGUCCAUACAUUUUUGAAUCUUGAACAUUUUGUGUGACAAAGGCUAUUGUUUUGUUGGUGGGCACUCACUAACUGGCUUCUGGACCAGCAUCGUGGUUCCAAAUUGCAAGAGUCACUUUGGAAUGGCAAGACCUCACUUCUCCCAAGGGCAGCCGACUGGUGACUGAAGGAGCUUUCAGUCUAUAAACAGCAAUGAAAGAAAACCUCAGCUUUGUUGCAAAGUGAUUCUGAUCAGAGGUUGACUCAUUCCACCCAUGACAGGAAACUUAAUUUCUAUACUUACUUGGCACUUGACUCCAUUAAAACAAAGACUGAAAGACAAGGUCAACUGAGGCACCAUGUGUUUGUGAAGGGGAUAGACUUAAGCCCUUCCAUUACUUGCUCCCUUUCUAAGGUCCGGUUACAAGUCUGCCUGGUUCUAUUUGGGGGAAGAGUUGUAAUUUCCUGCCUUCUUGGUGUCAGUGCCUGUGAAAAGUGCUUCAGGACACCAUUUAAAAGUUUGUGGAAAGCUUUUAAGUUUAAGGAGGUCCUGUUCGUUUAUUUUUAUUUAAGCUUUUUUCACAGGAAACAGGAAACAAAACAAAAAGAAAACCUACAGAAUGGGAGAAAAUGUCUGUGAACGAUAUGACUGACAAAGGAAUAAUCCCCAAAAUAUAUAAACAGCCCAUACAGCUCAAUAUCAAAAACAAAACCAAACAACCCAAUCAAAAAAUGGGCAGAAGAUCUAAAUAGACAUUUUCCAAAAAAGACAUACAGAAGACCAAUAGGUCAUGAAAAGAUGCUCAACAUCACUAAUUAUUAGAGAAAUGCAAAUCAAAACCACAAUGAGGUACCACCUCACAUGGGUCAGAAUGGCCAUUAUCAAAUGGUCUAUGAAUAAUAAUUGCUAGGGAGGGUGUGGAGAAAAAGGAAUCCUUCUAUACUGUUGGGAUUGUAAAUUGGUGCAGCAACUAUAGAGAAUAGUAUGGGGGCUCCUUAAAAAACUAAAAAUAGACCUACCAUAUUAUCCUGCAAUCCCAGUCCUGGAGAAAUUCAUAAUUAGAAAAGAUACAUGCACCCCUAUGUUCACUGCAGCACUAUUCACAAUAGCUAAGACAUGGAAACAACCUAAAUGUCCAUCGAUAGAUACGGACAAAGAAGAUGUGGUACAUACAUACAAUGGAGUAUUACACUGCCUUAAAAAACAACAAAAUAAUGCCAUUUGCAGCAACAUGGAUAGACUUAGAAUUAUCAUACUAAGUGAAGUAAGCCAGACAAUGAAAGAGAACUAUCAUACAAUAUUGCUUAUAUGAGGAAUCUAAAAAAAAAAAAGGAUGCAAAUGAACUUAAACACAAAACAGAAAUAGACCUACAGACACAGAAAACAAACUUAUGGUUACUAAAGAGGAAAGGAGGCAGGGAGGGAUAAAUCAGGAGUUUGGGAUUAACAUAUACACAUAACUAUAUAUAAAAAAGAUAACAAAGACCUACUACAUAGCAUGGAAACUCUACCCAAUAUUUCACAACAAUAUAUAAGGGAAAAGACUCUGAAAAAGAAUAUAUAGAGAGAUACAUGUAUACUAAAUCACUUUGCUAUACACUUAAAAUAACAGAACACUGUAAAUCAAUGAUAUUCCAAUUUUUUUUUUAAAGGGUCAUGCAAUUCAAAGCAAAGGCAUGGCACUGCUGUGUGAUACACCCCCAGCACCACAUACCGUGCAUAGUUACGCAGAUGCUCUUCAAUCAGCGUGUUAGAGGAAAGAUUGAUGCAGCUGCCGUAUAUCUCCUAGAGAGGUGCAAUAAAAGUCAUCUGAACACAUGCAACAAGCUCAGCACAUGCACAAGCCUCAAUAAACAGGAGGCAUGCAGGAGAGAGAUUAAAGGACAGAAGAUUGGGAUACACUUUAAGCAGCAUGGGGAACUGCUGACAUCUUGACUCUUGAGCAAGAGAACCCAUUAAGUUACCUGGGAAAGUUUUAUUCAAGCAAUGUAAGUGUGGACCUAUUUAAUAAUCAAAGGUCUGGUGUUUGGGAUACAAGUGUGACUUUUCUAGCUGAAACAAAUGUAUGCUAAAGUCUUUCAUGACAAAGACAACUCACAGUGGACAUCAAUGUGUAAUGAAAAUUUGUGUUGGGUUAGAGUAAUAUUAACUAAAACUUGAUUUUAGUAUUGCAAAAAGAAUUUGGACAGUUCUUAGACCUCAUUAUAAUGGGAUUUUAUCUUACAGCAAAUAAUAAAUUUUGCAGGUGUGACUCUCUAGAUUGCACGAUGGAUAUUCUGGAUCUUUCCAUCCCUCAGAGAGUUUCAUAUUUUGGCUGCUAUACCAUUUUGCAGGCAUGGCAUGCACAGAGCAUGCAGAAAACAUGGCCUAAAAAAAGAUGUUUGUAUAUCUUAUUCACUGGAUUUAAGAUUAGAGUGCAUGGUUUUCCAACAAAUGCAACUAUAAAAUAUAGUUCACAGUGCUCUCUGCCAUCCCCCGCGUGCUGGCGAGUGCUUCAGGCCGCUAAAGCUUUCUUAGGGGCUUGUGGUGUAAAAUGCCCAUGUGGAGGUCCUUACGGUGUUUGCAGUCGAAAGGUCAUUCCAAAGUGGAGUAGUUAAGUCUUUGGAAAUGGAGUUUCUACUUAUGUGUCCUUUAAUUGGGCUUGAGAAUAAACUAUCCAGUCGCAUGAGGAGAUGAAACUCUUCCUGAGGCAGAAUCAGUGCCCAAGGAGGGCCUGAUUUCACAUGGAUUUAUUGUCUAAUCUUGUAGAAAUGCCUCCCAGUCUACGACUCCUCAUUCUCAAGGAUUAAACUACUUAGGGAAAUCUAGGGACCAGAACAUAAUCUCUUGUGAUUUGUUUAAUUGUUCUCCCUUAAUGUAUUUUCCAAGGGAGGAGCAACCUGUACUCUCAGAGGAUAUAGCUCAUUAGGAACACAGGAAUCUGGCUUUCUGUGCAUCCUUUGGAAUUCUGGGGAUUCCCUCAAGGUGGCCAAGGGAGCUAUUUGUGGUGUUAGGAACAACUCAAUUAAUUUAAAAGAAUAAAAGGGAGGUUCUCCAAAGAACACUCACCGCCUUAUUCUUCCCUUUGCCAGCAGAGCUCCCGGGGUUUCCUUUACUGUCUGUGGUCUUCCGUCCAAGUGAGUUAAGGGCAGCGUGGACGUCUUUAGCUGGUUGGAUGCCUGAUAGUUAUUAUUAUUGUUUUGGUUGCCACUCAACGUCUCCAUGAUGGAUCGGAAGGUUCCAAAAGGCCUUUUCAGUUGAUCCCCUGAUUCGUUCCCCGCAGAGGUCCGUGGGAGGGCCUGCCCUUAUCUCUGUCCUUUUCGCCGUUCUGUUCAAGGCCACUUUGCUCCAUCUGCACCACGGGCUCCUCAAAGGUAACUCUGAGUUUCAAGUUCUGAGAUGUCCGGCGCUUGGAGGAUGGGGACUUGAGGGCACUCUUAGGACUCGUGGCCACUUUCUGGGCGGCUGUGCUGUCGGGGCUGGGCUGAGGGGGUUCUGCAGGGGGCUGGUUUGGGGGAGUAGUUCCUGAGCCUGGACACUGGGAUUCCAGGUCUGGCUCGCUGCUCUCUGAGGUGGGAGAUGGGCUAUGGCCAUCCAGAGAUUUGGAGGCCUUGAUACCAAAGGGAAACCUGCGUCCUGAUGCCAAUGUGUGUUUCUUUAUCAUCAAGUGUAAGCUUUCGGCACUGUCCACACUCUCCACGCUUUCCACGAUGGGCUGAGGUCUGGGCCUGUCAGCCUUUCUCACGGGUGUGCCCUUGGGGUCCUCAGAGUUGUUGGAGUCUGUGUCCGACUCACUCAUUGACCGCUGCAUCAGCUGCUUCAGCCUGGCUAACUUCAGUUCCCUCUUCUCCAGAGGGAUCUUUUUUGAGUUUCUUGAAGACGCCUGGGCAUCCUGGAAUUC